AUAGCUACAGUGAAAGAGAUUAGUACUUUUUGUAAACUGUGAUCAGCGAAUUCGGGAUCGUGUAAGCCGAAUGACAGUACAUAAAGGAAUGGCAACUCUGGAGUAGCUCCGAUAAAGUGGCUCAUUCUUGCUUGAGCAAAUAGGGUGGAACCGCGGCUAAAACCCGUCCCUAUG
rnacentral:misc_RNA from 1 species